CCAUAUACAUAUUUCCAAUAGGUAACGCGCCAUGUCCACGCUAAUACUCGAUUCGAUGCGGCUUUACAAUGUGCACUGAAAUGAUUCUUGCGAGAAACCAUCAAGAAUUAAAAAAUAAAAUAUGAAUAGUUUGGAACACUUGGGUUGUUGUAACCUGAAAAUAUUUGGCGCACUGCAGCAAAAUAAUAUUUUAAGAACGCGAUAGCGGAGCGGGCAAACGCGUUGCAGAUCGGAGCGAGAGCGAGCGGCGUCGCAAAUCCAUUAAAGAACGCGGCGGACGCGGAACGUAUCGAGACCGAAACGAGCGGCGUCGCAGUUCAAUUAACAGGACGCGGCGGACGCGAUGCGAUUCGGAGUCGGAGCAAGUGGCGACGCGUGCGACGCGAUCUCAUGAAACAGUACGCGAUGAACGCUUUUAUGCGGGACGCUUUUAUGGGAUGCGAAACGGAGUGGCUCCGGAAGGGAAAUCGCGGAUUUAAUUGAACGCGAUGAACGCUUUUACAGAACGGAGUGGCUAUAAUAUGAGAAUAACAUCGCGAUUUUAAUUGAACGUGAUGUGAGACGGACCUGCUCUAAAAGGAUUCAUUCUGAAAACUUGUGAGGAAAGAGGUUUGACAAUUCCAAGGGAGAAGGAGGCCUAAGACAGGUAUCAGGCAUCGGUGGAGCAACUUAGCGAAUCAUCGUAGCUACAUUGCUGAUAACUCCACUGUUGCGCAUCGGUCGAAAUUUUCGGAUUAUACAUACGUAAGUAUGGAUAUUUGAUAAUUAUGCUUCUAAACGAAAUUAUAUUUAAUAAUUUUAAAUAUAAUACUAAUUAAUUUAAUUAUAUUAUUUAGUAUUAUUUGUACAGUACGCUGCAAAAUUGCAGUAGUAUUAUCAUACACAUGUUAAUAUCAUAUACUGAAAUUUUGUCUCUUUAUCUAUGUAUUUGGACAUUACUUUUGAAUAUAUUGUCACAUUUUGUGAUAUUAAA